GAUGAACGCUAGCUACAGGCUUAACACGUGCAAGUCGAGGGGAAACGCCAUCUAAAGCUUGCUUUUGAUGGGCGUCGACCGGCGCACGGGUGAGUAACGCGUAUCCAACCUGCCCAUCACUUGGGGAUAACCUUGCGAAAGUAAGACUAAUACCCAAUGAUAUCUCUAGAAGACAUCUGAAAGAGAUUAAAGAUUUCUCGGUGAUGGAUGGGGAUGCGUCUGAUUAGCUUGUUGGCGGGGUAACGGCCCACCAAGGCAACGAUCAGUAGGGGUUCUGAGAGGCAGGGCCCCCGAAAUUGAAACGAGGCCCAGACCCCAAUGGUACGGGAGGGAGGAGUGAGGAAGAUAAGGGGAGAGGCGAGAGCCUGAACCAGCCAAGUAGGGUGCAGGAAGACGGCGGUAUGGGUUGUAAACUGCUUGUAAAAGGGAACAAAGUGAGAGUCGUGACGCUGGUUGUAGGUACCUGAUGAAUAAGGACCGGCUAAUUCCGUG
rnacentral:rRNA from 1 species